CAGUUAAUGAUAGUGUGACGAAUCACACUGGGUUUCCCCAUUCGGGUAUCGCCGUUAUAACCGGCGAUWCCCGAAUGGGGAAACCCAGUGUGAUUCGUCACACUAUCAUUAACUGAAUCCAUAGGUUAAUGAGGCGAACCGGGGGAACUGAAACAUCUAAGUACCCCGAGGAAAAGAAAUCAACCGAGAUUCCCCCAGUAGCGGCGAGCGAACGGGGAGGAGCCCAGAGCCUGAAUCAGCAUGUGUGUUAGUGGAAGCGUCUGGAAAGGCGCGCGAUACAGGGUGACAGCCCCGUACACAAAAGCGCAUGUGCUGUGAGCUCGAUGAGUAGGGCGGGACACGUGGUAUCCUGUCUGAAUAUGGGGGGACCAUCCUCCAAGGCUAAAUACUCCUGACUGACCGAUAGUGAACCAGUACCGUGAGGGAAAGGCGAAAAGAACCCCGGCGAGGGGAGUGAAAAAGAACCUGAAACCGUGUACGUACAAGCAGUGGGAGCACAGGUUUACCUGUGUGACUGCGUACCUUUUGUAUAAUGGGUCAGCGACUUAUAUUCUGUAGCAAGGUUAACCGUAUAGGGGAGCCGCAGGGAAACCGAGUCUUAAUUGGGCGUUAAGUUGCAGGGUAUAGACCCGAAACCCGGUGAUCUAGCCAUGGGCAGGUUGAAGGUUGGGUAACACUAACUGGAGGACCGAACCGACUAAUGUUGAAAAAUUAGCGGAUGACCUGUGGCUGGGGGUGAAAGGCCAAUCAAACCGGGAGAUAGCUGGUUCUCCCCGAAAGCUAUUUAGGUAGCGCCUCGUGAAUUCAUCUCCGGGGGUAGAGCACUGUUUCGGCUAGGGGGCCAUCCCGGCUUACCAACCCGAUGCAAACUGCGAAUACCGGAGAAUGUUAUCACGGGAGACACACGGCGGGUGCUAACGUCCGUCGAGAAGAGGGAAACAACCCAGACCGCCAGCUAAGGUCC
rnacentral:rRNA from 1 species